AGGGCCUCGCGCUCAAGGGGCGGCCGAUGGCAGAUUAGCUAGUUGGUAGGGUAAAGGCCUACCAAGGCGACGAUCUGUAGCUGGUCUGAGAGGACGACCAGCCACACUGGGACUGAGACACGGCCCAGACUCCUACGGGAGGCAGCAGUGGGGAAUUUUGGACAAUGGGGGCAACCCUGAUCCAGCAAUGCCGCGUGUGUGAAGAAAGGCCUUCGGGUUGUAAAGCACUUUUGUCCGGAAAGAAAACGGCCUGGUUAAUACCUGGGCUGGAUGACGGUA
rnacentral:rRNA from 2 species